GGAGGUUGGAAAGAAUAUUUGUUUUCCAAUAUUGUGAUGAUGUACCGUGGCAAGUAGUGGAUAGUUAGAUUUGUGGCAAGACUUGUUUUUAAUUCUUCAACGAAAAUGGACCUUUUUAAUUGAAAAAAAGAAGGUUGGAUUCGAACGUGCUACCACCGCUUCGUUGUGAACUUGAUACGAAUAACUUCGCAUGUUCCUAUUUUUGAGCGCUGUUAUUAAUAUUUAUCUAUAAUCUUAUAUUGUAUAUUUAAAUCUUUGUUUAUACAGCAGGCCUAUGAUAUAUUAAUAUAAAGCAUAUAGGUGAAUGCUUUAAGUGUAUAUAUUUACAUUAUAUUACUUUUCAUAGUAAUAACGUGUUCAUUACCGGUACAGUACGGUAUAUCCUAUUAAAUAGAUCGUUACAUUUUAUUUUAUUACAAUAUUUAGUCAUCCUAUGUAAAAUAAUAUAAUAUUUCUUUGUUUAUGAUAUAUUGUGUUUUAAAUAAACCCUACUCUAUACUCAUUUCAGAGUCAUUUGUAUACGUCUGAUGUUCCUUAAUUCAAAAUGAUUAUAUGGUGAUCAUCUCCUACAUGAGCUAAUCACGGACGGUUCCCAUAGCUCUCUUCUCUAUUGCCAACACCAUUACAUUCAGCUAUUCAAUUCAUUAUCAGGAUCAAAUUGAUUUCAUUUUUUAUAAAUAGUGAUAUAUGACCUAAUUAAAGUUGAUGCACAAUUACUCAUUCCAGUAAUAUAAUUUUUGAAUACUGAGCAUAUACACAUCUGCUAAUAAUA